rnacentral:snRNA from 1 species
GUACUCACUUCAGCAGCACAUAUACUAAAAUUGGAACAAUGCAGAGAAGAUUAGCAUGGCCCUUGAGCAAGAAUGACACGCAAAUUCAUGAAGCAUUCCAUAUUAAU